UGCCCUCUCCUCUCCUCUUCUCUCUUCUCCUCUUUUAUGGUCUUUCUAACCAAUUAGUCUUAAGGGCAAGGAAUAAACCUCACACUGAAGAAGUCUACCUUCAUGAACAUGGGUGUUUCUUCUGCCAUGCUCUGAGACCUGUCCUUGUUGGAUCCUUCUGCUGCAGCUUAUUGGAUGAUGUGGCUCGUUCAGGAAGGACACAGCUGCAUUUCGAAGACCCUGGUUAGGCUGAAGUCUUCUCUGUCAUGAAGACUUAGCAUAUUGGAGCCCUCUUCUGUCUAACCCACGCUGGCUGAAGUUCAUCACCAACACAUUUUUCUAAGGUUGGAUUCAGCAAACAAUGAUUUAUUGACCUUGCUAAGUGUUAUCAUGGCCUGAGAAAUGAUCUUCCCCUCCUCCACCCUGCUCCUGCCCUGGGCACUUUGAA